rnacentral:misc_RNA from 1 species
GUAGGUGAACCUGCGGAAGGAUCAUUAAAAAUACCAAAUAUUUUUAUACACCUUCAAAUUUUAUUGAUACUAUUCUUUAUUUCAUUCGAAAUAAAAAUAAAUAAUCUAAAUAUAACUUUUAACAAUGGAUCUCUUGGCUCUCGCAUCGAUGAAGAACGCAGCAUCUGACUGACUCGUUGCCU